AGCAGCCAAGAUAUGACUGGGUUUAUCCGCUGAUGUGGGGGGCUGAGGGAAAGAGAAUGGGGGACGGGGGCUGUAGCCCGGAUACAGCAGCAGCAGCAGCAUUGAGCAGCAUCACUGACUGAGGCGCUCUGUUUCAGCUAAAGCUCAGAGAGCAGAGCUGGUGAGGGUCGUAAAGAAAGAGAGGGAGAGAAAGCCCCUCCUGCUGCCAUGCUGAGCUGUGAGCAGGCCCAGGCCCUCCCUCAGUCCAGAUAAAUUACCAGCAGUGGCCAAAGAGGAAAAAAUCAGUGCUGCUCUCAGUCUCGACGCGUUUAUGAGGAGAUUUCCUACAGAGAGAAAGACGAGGAGGAAAAGCGCUCGAAGAUGCUGGGCAGUGAAAAGAAGAGCAAACCUGCAGAAAAGAAGAAGAACGGAGCUGGGAUGUCCCAACACAAGACAGACGACCCCCUGGUUAAUUUAGAACUCGAUAUGUGAUACACAAACUGGUUUGGCUCAGAAGCAUGCACAGCAAUGGAGCUAAAAACAAUACAAGAAAAAGAUCAGAAGCACUCAGAUGCCAAGUUUUGAUGACUGCGGCUUCCAUGUAAGACAGUAAAUGAGAGACCCCUGGAUAGGACCACUGAAACUAUGUACUGUUUUAAAGAUUUGUCCAUACUGUACUUAAAACGGCAUUUCAUUAUCAUUAUUAUUAUUAGGCCUUAGUUAUAUUGUAAGGUAGUCUCCUCUGACAUAUCAUAGCCUGUUUUACCUAAUCUGUAAUUCUAAAAUAAUAUAAUAUCAGUGCAGAUCUGUUAAUGUGACUUUUUCACUGCCACUGUGGAAAUAUGUUGAGUGUAACGCUGCUGCUGGAAUAAAAUCUCUG